rnacentral:rRNA from 1 species
UACAGAGGGUGCAAGCGUUGUUCGGAAUUAUUGGGCGUAAAGAGCGUGUAGGCGGCCAGGUAGGUCUGCUGUGAAAACUCGAGGCUCAACCUCGAGACGUCGGCGGAAACCAUCUGGCUAGAGUCCGGAAGAGGAGAGUGGAAUUCCUGGUGUAGCGGUGAAAUGCGCAGAUAUCAGGAGGAACACCGGUGGCGAAGGCGGAUCUCUGGGCCAUUACUGACGCUGAGGAGCGAAAGCGUGGGGAGCGAACAGG